UACGUAGGGUGCUAGCGUUGUUCGGAAUUACUGGGCGUAAAGCGCACGUAGGCGGCUUUGUAAGUUAGAGGUGAAAGCCCGGGGCUCAACUCCGGAAUUGCCUUUAAGACUGCAUCGCUAGAAUUGUGGAGAGGUAAGUGGAAUUCCGAGUGUAGAGGUGAAAUUCGUAGAUAUUCGGAAGAACACCAGUGGCGAAGGCGACUUACUGGACACAUAUUGACGCUGAGGUGCGAAAGCGUGGGGAGCGAACAGG
rnacentral:rRNA from 1 species